AGAGCCCAUUUAGCCCGGGUGACUGCAAGGCUUCAUAGUUGGUGGGGAGGGGAAGUAUCAAGACAGGACAGCAGGGGAGGGGAGAGGGGGAGAGAGAGGAAAGGAGAGGAGAGGAAUCAGUAUCGCCAUUGUCGGGCCUUUCCGAUCAAACUGGACACAACAGUGCGUUUUUUUUGUUUUUUACUUCUCAAAGUUGGGUCUUCCUUCUCCCUUCAGACAGAGAACGCAUGAAAGAUACAAGGAAGAACUGUGGUGGGUUCGUAGUUUAAAGUUUAGAUACAUCUUUAUUGUUAGAAAACUCAGGAUGUCAAUCCCAUUCUUUCUUGACCACCCACACACACACACACACACACACACACAGAAAUGGAACUUACAAAGCAAACUCAACUGAUGCCAAGGACAUUCUCCAAAUCAG